AGGUAGUGACGAAAAAUAACGAUACGGGACUCAUCCGAGGCCCCGUAAUCGGAAUGAGUACACUUUAAAUCCUUUAACGAGGAUCCAUUGGAGGGCAAGUCUGGUGCCAGCCGCCGCGGUAAUUCCAGCUCCAAUAGCGUAUAUUAAAGUUGUUGCGGUUAAAAAGCUCGUAGUUGAAUCUGUGUGUUACGCUGUCGGUUCAUCGCUCGCCGAUGUCUAACUGAUACGCCGUGACACGUCCUACCGGUGGACUUAGCCGUUCCCGCUUUGCGGUAACGCGGCGGUCCUACUUGAAUCCCAUCGCGGUGCCCUUAAUCGAGUGUCGUGGUGGGCCGGUACGUUUACUUUGAACAAAUUAGAGUGCUUAAAGCAGGCUGUUUUCGCCUGAAUACUGUGUGCAUGGAAUAAUGGAAUAGGACCUCGGUUCUAUUUUGUUGGUUUUCGGAACACCGAGGUAAUGAUUAAUAGGGACAGAUGGGGGCAUUCGUAUUGCGACGUUAGAGGUGAAAUUCUUGGAUCGUCGCAAGACGGACAGAAGCGAAAGCAUUUGCCAAAAAUGUUUUCAUUAAUCAAGAACGAAAGUUAGAGGUUCGAAGGCGAUCAGAUACCGCCCUAGUUCUAACCAUAAACGAUGCCAGCUAGCGAUCCGCCGAAGUUCCUCCGAUGACUCGGCGGGCAGCU
rnacentral:rRNA from 1 species